rnacentral:rRNA from 1 species
ACAUACGACCAUAGACUCAAGAGCAUCCCGUCCGCUCUGCCAUACACAAGCUUGAGAUCGGUGGAUUAGUAGUUGGGUGGGUGACCACCAGCGAAUACCCACUGUUGUAUGUU